rnacentral:lncRNA from 1 species
AAGUCAUUUCACUUCUCUUGGGACCUCAAUUUCUCUAACUUCAAAAUGAAAAUAUCUUUCAUAAUUACUGUUGAUGAUCAUGAAGAUACUUUCUAAAUUGUAGCUUUCUAUAAAAUGCUAGUUAUAAUUUUGUUAUUUUCUUUUUACUGCCCUUUUAUAAAAUAAAAAUGACAAAUGGGGAAGAACAGUUCUUUCUGAAGCUCUCACAGCUAUUUUCCUUUCCAUUUCUUCAGUUUCUUUCAUUCAAGUGGGAAAUUCAUAAGGAUCAAAGAAAAUAUCAAACAUGUAAGAAUUAGAUGAUCAGCACAUUUCAAAGAUUUCUGCCUAUGUCACUAUCACGGGGAAGAUCCUGAGAAGUUAUUGUAAAGCUCAGCACAUUAUGGCAGUUAGGUGAG